UGACAGGAGACCAUUUCCUGUUGCCUGCAAGAUGUCCGACUCUCGGCUACUUCACCAUUGUGUCUGCCAUGCUCCCUGCCAUGAUGAUAAUGAACUGAACCUUUGAAACUGCAUCAACAUGAAUUUGACUUGGAACCAAAAGACAUUUCCAGGGAGAGAUCAGCACAAGCAUGGAUGCCAGUGCGUGAUGCGCUCAUCCCGGAAAACAGCAGGGGUGAGAAGUUCCUGCCUCUGGCUUCCUGCUCAGACUUCCCUCGACGACGGACGUCAAUAAGGAAGGAGAACGCUAGGGUGCUGAGAGUCAAGGUGAGAUGUGCCGGAGCUUCAAAAGGAAAUGUAAAAGGCAAGAUGUCCUGAAAAUGAAUGUGAUGCACUCGCCGUGCACUCCACAACGACACUUCCUGCUCUCUCCAUUCCUUGACUUCACCUUUGCUCAGUGCUGGUCCUGAGGUUGCACAUCCUGGUUGAUCUCCUUUGAACUGUUUCUGCAGUCCCUUCUCUUUCACCCUUUCUCUGAAGAUAAUUGUUAGUCAUGUGCUCUAGGUGAAUAAAUCAGUUCUUUAGAGAAGGUUGCUAUUGAAAUAGAGGCUGUGUCAUUUAAAUUUGAACGUAGAGAAAACUACAAAUAUCUUUCUGUGUGUGUGUGCGCGCGUGUGUGUGUGCGUGUGUGUGUGUGUGUGUGUGUGUGUCUGUGUGUGUGCGCGCACUCAUGUAUCUAUGUCUGUGUGUCUGUUUUCAUGUGUUUGUAGCAUUGAACGGGACCUAUUAAUAGUAAUAAAAGAAUACCUAAAAUUCAA